rnacentral:tRNA from 1 species
AUUUAAAUAAUUUAAUAAAAAUAUUGAUUUGUGGAGUCAAAAAUAUGAGGUAAUCCUUUUAAAUU